UAGGGAAUAUUGCAAAAUGGGCGAAAGCCCGAUGCAGCAACGCCGCGUGGGCGAUGAAGGCCUUCGGGUCGUAAAGCCCUUUUUGAGGGGAUGAGGAAGGACAGUACCCUCAGAAUAAGCCUCGGCUAACUACGUGCCAGCAGCCGCGGUAAAACGUAGGCGGCGAGCGUUAUCCGGAUUUACUGGGCGUAAAGCGCGUGCAGGCGGAUUGGAGAGUUGGAUGUGAAAGCUCCCGGCUUAACUGGGAGAGGUCGUUCAAUACUUCCAGGCUUGAGGGCAGUAGAGGGAAGUGGAAUUCCGGGUGUAGUGGUGAAAUGCGUAGAUAUCCGGAGGAACACCUGUGGCGAAAGCGGCUUCCUGGACUGUAACUGACGCUCAGACGCGAAAGCUAGGGUAGCAAACG
rnacentral:rRNA from 1 species